UUAAAAAAAUGUAUCAGCAUAAAUUAGAUGAGCCACUUUUAUUCCAUAGGCUUGGAAUAAAAUAAUUUGCCUGAUGAUGAGUGAUUUCAUGCAAGCUAAUUUUUGUCCACUUUCCCUCUCCUCGCCGCCUCUCCUUCAUUACCUUUGACAUUUUUCAAAAAGAGACAGAGGAGAGAGGACAGAGGACAGAGGAGAGAGAGUACAGAGGAGAGAGAGUACAGAGGAGAGAGGACAGUGGAGAGAGGACAGAGAGUACAGAGGACAGAGAGUACAGAGGAGAGAGAGUACAGAGGAGAGAGAGUACAGAGGAGAGAGAGUACAGAGGAGAGAGAGUACAGAGGAGAGAGAGUACAGAGGAGAAAGAGGACAGAGGAGAGAGAGUACAGAGGAGAGAGAGUACAGAGGAGAAAGAGGAGAGAGGAGAGAGAGGACAGAGGAGAGAGAGGACAGAGGAGAGAGAGGACAGAGGAGAGAGAGGACAGAGGAGAGAGAGUACAGAGGAGAGAGAGGACAGAGGAGAGAGAGGACAGAGGAGAGAGAGGACAGAGGAGAGAGAGUACAGAGGAGAGAGAGGACAGAGGAGAGAGAGGACAGAGGAGAGAGAGGACAGAGGAGAGAGAGGACAGAGGAGAGAGAGGACAGAGGAGAGAGUACAGAGGAGAGAGAGGACAGAGGAGAGAGGACAGAGGAGAGAGGACAGAGAGUACAGAGGAGAGAGAGGACAGAGGAGAGAGAGGACAGAGGAGAGAGAGUACAGAGGAGAGAGAGUACAGAGGAGAAAGAGGACAGAGGAGAGAGAGGACAGAGGAGAGAGGACAGAGGAGAGAGUACAGAGGAGAGAGGACAGAGAGUACAGAGGAGAGAGAGAACAGUGGAGAGAGAGUACAGAGGAGAGAGAGUACAGAGGAGAGAGAGUACAGAGGAGAGAGAGUACAGAGGAGAGAGAGUACAGAGGAGAGAGAGUACAGAGGAGAAAGAGGACAGAGGAGAGAGAGGACAGAGGAGAGAGAGGACAGAGGAGAGAGAGGACAGAGGAGAGAGAGGACAGAGGAGAGAGAGGACAGAGGAGAGAGAGUACAGAGGAGUGAGAGGACAGAGGAGAGAGAGUACAGAGGAGUGAGAGUACAGAGGAGAGAGAGUACAGAGGAGAGAGAGGACAGUACAGAGGAGAGAGAGGACAGGACAGAGGAGAGAGAGGACAGAGGAGAGAGAGUACAGAGGAGAGAGAGUACAGAGGAGAGAGAGUACAGAGGAGAGAGAGUACAGAGGAGAGAGGACAGAGGAGAGAGAGGACAGAGGAGAGAGAGGACAGAGGAGAGAGAAUACAGAGGAGAGAGGACAGAGGAGAGAGAGUACAGAGGACAGAGGACAGAGAGUACAGAGGAGAGAGAGGACAGUGGAGAGAGAGUACAGAGGAGAGAGAGUACAGAGGAGAGAGAGUACAGAGGAGAGAGAGGACAGAGGAGAGAGAGUACAGAGGAGAAAGAGUACAGAGGAGAAAGAGGACAGAGGGGAGAGAGGACAGAGGAGAGAGAGUACAGAGGAGAGAGAGUACAGAGGAGAGAGAGACAGAGGAGAGAGAGUACAGAGGAGAGAGAGUACAGAGGAGAGAGAGUACAGAGGAGAGAGGACAGAGGAGAGAGAGGACAGAGGAGAGAGAGGACAGAGGAGAGAGAGGACAGAGGAGAGAGGACAGAGGAGAGAGAGUACAGAGGAGAGAGAGGACAGAGGAGAGAGAGGACAGAGGAGAGAGAGGACAGAGGAGAGAGAGUACAGAGGAGAGAGGACAGAGGAGAGAGGACAGAGGACAGAGGAGAGAGAGGACAGAGGAGAGAGAGGAGAGAGGACAGAGGAGAGCGAGGACAGAGGAGAGAGGACAGAGGGGAGAGAGGACAGAGGAGAGAGAGUACAGAGGAGAGAGAGUACAGAGGAGAGAGAGACAGAGGAGAGAGAGUACAGAGGAGAGAGAGUACAGAGGAGAGAGAGUACAGAGGAGAGAGGACAGAGGAGAGAGAGGACAGAGGAGAGAGAGGACAGAGGAGAGAGAGGACAGAGGAGAGAGGACAGAGGAGAGAGAGUACAGAGGAGAGAGAGGACAGAGGAGAGAGAGGACAGAGGAGAGAGAGGACAGAGGAGAGAGAGUACAGAGGAGAGAGGACAGAGGAGAGAGGACAGAGGACAGAGGAGAGAGAGGACAGAGGAGAGAGAGGAGAGAGGACAGAGGAGAGCGAGGACAGAGGAGAGAGGACAGAGGACAGAGGAGAGAGAGGACAGAGGAGAGAGAGGACAGAGAGGACAGAGGAGAGAGAGGACAGAGGAGAGAGAGUACAGAGGAGAGAGAGGACAGAGGAGAGAGAGUACAGAGGAGAGAGGACAGAGGAGAGAGAGUACAGAGGAGAGAGGACAGAGGAGAGAGUACAGAGGAGAGAGAGUACAGAGGAGAGAGAGUACAGAGGAGAGAGAGUACAGAGGAGAGAGAGUACAGAGGAGAGAGAGUACAGAGGAGAGAGAGUACAGAGGAGAGAGAGUACAGAGGAGAGAGAGUACAGAGGAGAGAGAGAGUACAGAGGAGAGAGAGAGUACAGAGGAGAGAGAGGACAGAGGAGAGAGAGGACAGAGGAGAGAGAGGACAGAGGAGAGAGAGGACAGAGGAGAGAGGACAGAGGACAGAGGAGAGAGAGGAGAGAGGACAGAGGAGAGCGAGGACAGAGGAGAGAGGACAGAGGACAGAGAGGACAGAGGAGAGAGAGUACAGAGGAGAGAGAGUACAGAGGAGAGAGAGUACAGAGGAGAGAGAGGACAGAGGAGAGAGAGGACAGAGGAGAGAGAGUACAGAGGAGAGAGAGUACAGAGGAGAGAGGACAGAGGAGAGAGAGGACAGAGGAGAGAGAGGACAGAGGAGAGAGAGGACAGGGGAGAGAGAGUACAGAGGAGAGAGGACAGGAGAGAGAGAGUACAGAGGAGAGAGAGUACAGAGGAGAGAGUACAGAGGAGGGAGAGGACAGAGGAGAGAGUACAGAGGAGAGAGAGGACAGAGGAGAGAGUACAGAGGAGAGAGUACAGAGGAGAGAGAGGACAGAGGAGAGAGAGGACAGAGGAGAGAGAGGACAGAGGAGAGAGAGAGGACAGAGGAGAGAGAGGACAGAGGAGAGAGAGAGGACAGAGGAGAGAGAGGACAGAGGAGAGAGAGGACAGAGGAGAGAGAGGACAGAGGAGAGAGAGUACAGAGGAGAGAGAGUACAGAGGAGAGAGAGGACAGGACAGAGGAGAGAGAGGACAGAGGAGAGAGGGGACAGAGGAGAGAGUGAAGAGGAGAGAGAGUACAGAGGAGAGAGAGUACAGAGGAGAGAGGACAGAGGAGAGAGAGGACAGAGGAGAGAGAGGACAGAGGAGAGAGAAUACAGAGGAGAGAGGACAGAGGAGAGAGAGGACAGAGGAGAGAGAGGACAGAGGAGAGAGGACAGAGGAGAGAGAGGACAGAGGAGAGAGAGGACAGAGGAGAGAGAGGACAGAGGAGAGAGAGGACAGAGGAGAGAGAGGACAGAGGAGAGAGAGGACAGAGGAGAGAGAAUACAGAGGAGAGAGGACAGAGGAGAGAGUACAGAGGAGAGAGAGGACAGAGGAGAGAGAGUACAGAGGAGAGAGAGGACAGAGGAGAGAGAGUACAGAGGAUGCAGGAGUUGCUUAAAUGCAAAUGAGAAAAGGCCUCAGUGUCCUCUUCUAAGUAGAGGUGGAAGUUUAAGGUGAGGAGAUGAGGUCACUGACGGUAGAGAUCACCAAUGGCCCCACCGUUACUCUUUCAGGGGUGGAAGUAUGGACAGAGUCUCUCUGCGAAGAUGUAACUGUGAAUGAGUAGAUAUGAGACCUGGACUCCACAUCAUUCCCCCCUUCCCAGUCUACAUACACGCCCACCCUCUGGUGCUUCUCGACCAGUGGCAGGGGGACAGGGGGGUCUGCAGAGCGCAGUGCUUAGUCCUGUUCCUCAGGGCGACUGUCCAGUAGCCACGCACAGGGUUUAGGCUAUUCCCUCCUUUCUUGUUGACAGACUCUCUCCCUACUCCUAUGUCCCACUCUGUCUUCCCCUUCACCUGCACCUCGCAGUAGAACCUCCCUGAGGAAAAGCCCUCCUUCCUCAGGACACUGAUACCUCUCAGGGUUGUCAGGGAGGUUCAGCGCUGUUUUGCCGUGGGCCACUUGUUUACCAUUGUCAGAGAGGAUGACUUUGGGGUGAGCUGUAUCAGGGUCAAGGGUCACAUCCACGGCACACUGCUUAAUUCUUGUAAGUUCUGUGUCACACAAUCUUUUCACUUCAUCUUCAGUGACUUCUCAAACUGGGACCGAGCUCUACUCACAGCUCUCCUUACUGUUCUUACGUACACAACACUUUGACCAAUGAUCUCAGACCAGUUCUUGGUGAGAGGAGGGGUGCACAGGGAUGGGAAGCUAUGGAUGAGGUGAAGGUGGUCCUCAGUGUGUGAGAGCUGCUCCAGCUCAGUGUCUCUCCAUCAGCCUGCCUCUGCUCCUCCCCAAUCACCUCAAUGAGCUCAGCCUGGCUUCUCUGAAUGGAGCGCACCAGAGCAGUAAAGACCUCCAAGCUCUCCCUAAUAUCUCUCUCUGAAUUUAUUCUGCCUGAUUGUACUGUGUCUUUGAUGUCCUUCACUUUCUGCAGUCGACCUUGAAUCAUCUGCUGCAUGACAUCUUCCAUGUUCGCUAGAUGAAGCCUCCUUUUUUUCUCCAAUGGGACAGUGUUGUGUUUCUUGUGUCUUUUCUCAGUGCAUACCUGACACAUGUAUGCCUGGUUACUUCUACAGAACAGCUCAAGAAGCUGCUGCUACCUCUUACACACUCUGUGCUCCAUGUUCAUCACAGGCUUGAUCAGGUUGUGUUUCUUGAAGGUGGUCAGUACGUGGUGAGUACGAAGUGAAUCUCACAGUAAGAGGCCUGACACUCCAGGCAGGACUUCAAGGCCUUGCAUUUCCUCCCAGUGCAGACGUCACAGGGUACUUCUCCACAUUGGGCAGCUUGGGGUUGGUCUUGGUCCAGCGGUUGGUCCUGGGUAAAAAGUAGCAGUCGCACUCGUUUCAACUGACCUCCUGACCUGAUUGGCCAUCUCAGAUAUGAAAGUAUUGACUUUGAGAUCAGGUGUUCUGCUGAAUUUCUGCUUACACAUGGGACACUGACACGGGCUGGUGGUAUGCCAGGACCCAUGUAUGCAGUCCUUGUUGUGUCCACAUGGGGUUGGGCUAG
ensembl:lncRNA